GUGUACUUUGCCAUGUCAAACUUGAAUGAAAAAUGGAAGAAUAGAAAGUCUACUACUAAACUGUAAGCUAAACGAGAAGAGGUGUAUGCAACAUGCCAACGAACUAACAAACUAACUAAACGUCCACGCAGUCAACUUUAGUCGUCCGCCGAAAAAACUUUCAUAAAAGAAACCGCAACUGUAGCAAGCGCGUGGACAUAUUUGCUAAUGAUUCCUGGCACUAAAUGUACACCUCAUGUUCAUGACUACAGGUCUUUCUCAGCGUUCUCUCCCAAUCGUCCUGGAUUUAUCUGUAUACUGUAAAGCACCUCACCGCGAUUGCCGUUAUUCAAUCGUGAUGCCUGCCUUUGGAACAACCUAUCAGCAGUGCUUUUUCCAGUCGUACUUGAUGUCUCCAUUUUCAAGACGAGCAUUCACAAGCAUUACUCCGUUCCUUCAUCCUAC